GGGUAUAGCUCAGUGGUAGAGCAUGUGCUUAGCGUGCACGAGGUCCUGGGUUCAAGCUCCAGUAUGUCCA
rnacentral:tRNA from 1 species